GGAUCAACAUUACCAUGGCAACCCUAAGGAGACUGUGAGAGUCUCUGGGGUCCUUGCCGGCCUGCAGAAAAUCAAGCUUUGAGCGGGAAGCUUCGAGGAGACACAGUGUCACAAUUACAAG
rnacentral:antisense_RNA from 1 species